AUUGAACGCUGGCGGCAUGCUUUACACAUGCAAGUCGAACGGCAGCGCGGGCUUCGGCCUGGCGGCGAGUGGCGAACGGGUGAGUAAUGCCUCUGAACGCGCCCAGUAGUGGGGGAUAGCCCGGCGAAGGCCGGAUUAAUCCCGCAUACGACCUGUGGGUGAAAGCGGGGGACCGAACGGCCUCGCGCUAUUGGAGCGGCCGAUGUCGGAAUAGCUAGUUGGUUGGGUAAAGGCUUACCAAGGCGACGAUCCGUAGCUGGUCUGAGAGGACGACCCGUCGCAGGGGUGAGGAGAUGAGGACCAGACUCCGAAGGGAGGCAGCAGUGGGGAAUUUUGGAGAAGGGGGGCAACCCAGUUCCAGCCAUGGCGCGUGCGGGAAGAAGGCCUUCGGGUUGUAAACCGCUUUUGUUCGGGAAGAAAACCUCUGGGCUAAUACCCCGGGGGGAUGAAGGUACCGGAAGAAUAAGCACCGGCUAACUACGU
rnacentral:rRNA from 1 species